UACAGAGGGGCAAGCGUUGUUCGGAAUUACUGGGCGUAAAGGGCGCGUAGGCGGCCUCUAAGUUCAUGCGUGAAAUCCCCGGGCUCAACCCGGGAACUGCGUCUGAUACUGGAAGGCUUGAAUCCGGGAGAGGGAUGCGGAAUUCCGAGGUGUAGCGGUGAAAUGCGUAGAUAUCUGGAGGAACACCGGUGGCGAAGGCGGCAUCCUGGACCGGUAUUGACGCUGAGGCGCGAAAGCCAGGGGAGCAAAGCGGG
rnacentral:rRNA from 1 species